UACAGAGGUCUCAAGCGUUGUUCGGAUUCAUUGGGCGUAAAGGGUGCGUAGGCGGCGCGGUAAGUCGGGUGUGAAAUCUCGGGGCUUAACUCCGAAACUGCAUCCGAAACUGCCCGACUAGAGGUAGGUAGGGAGAUCGGAAUUCCGUGGUGUAGCGGUGAAAUGCGCAGAUAUCAGGAGGAACACCGGUGGCGAAGGCGGCUCUCGUGGAAGCCGAUACUGACGCUGAGCGCGAAAGCGUGGG
rnacentral:rRNA from 1 species